AGAAUCAACGCUGGCGGCGUGCCUAACACAUGCAAGUCGAACGCGAAAGUGGAGCAAUCCAUGAGUAGAGUGGCAAACGGGUGAGUAACACGUGGGUGACCUGCCUUCGAGUGGGGGAUAACGUCCCGAAAGGGACGCUAAUACCGCAUAACAUCCUGCCUUUAGAGAGGUGGAGAUCAAAGCCGGGGAUCGCAAGACCUGGCGCUUGAAGAGGGGCCCGCGCCUGAUUAGCUAGUUGGUGGGUAAUGGCCUACCAAGGCUACGAUCAGUA
rnacentral:rRNA from 1 species